UACAGAGGUCCCGAGCGUUGUUCGGAUUCACUGGGCGUAAAGGGCGCGUAGGUGGCCUAAAAAGUUUGAUGUGAAAGCUCAGGGCUUAACCCUGAAAUGGCAUUGAAUACUGUUGGGCUGGAGGUUUGGAGGGGGGACUGGAAUUCUUGGUGUAGCAGUGAAAUGCGUAGAUAUCAAGAGGAACACCAGUGGCGAAGGCGGCUACCUGGACCAGCACUGACACUGAGGCACGAAAGCGUGGGGAGCAAACAGG
rnacentral:rRNA from 1 species